UACAGAGGUCUCAAGCGUUGUCCGGAUUCAUUGGGCGUAAAGGGUGCGUAGGCGGCCCGGUAAGUCGGCUGUGAAAUCUCGGAGCUUAACUCCGAAACUGCAUUCGAUACUGCCGUGCUUGAGGACUGGAGAGGAGACUGGAAUUUACGGUGUAGCGGUGAAAUGCGUAGAUAUCGUAAGGAAGACCAGUGGCGAAGGCGGGUCUCUGGACAGUUCCUGACGCUGAGGCACGAAGGUCAGGGGAGCAAACGGG
rnacentral:rRNA from 1 species